rnacentral:rRNA from 1 species
GCGGCGUGCCUACACAUGCGAGUCCNACGAGAAAGCCCCUUCGGGGGUGAGUAGAGUGGCGCACGGGUGAGUAACACGUGGAUAAUCUGCCUGAUAAUUUGGGAUAACACUCCGAAAGGAAUGCUAAUACCGGAUAAGCCCACAGCCUCCUCGGAGGCAGCGGGAAAAGAUGGCCUCUUCAUGAAAGCUAUUGUUAUCAGAUGAGUCCGCGGUCCAUUAGCUAGUUGGUAGGGUAAUGGCCUACCAAGGCAACGAUGGAUAGCUGGUUUGAGAGAAUGAUCAGCCACACUGGAACUGAGACACGGUCCAGACUCCUACGGGAGGCAGCAGUGGGGAAUUUUGCGCAAUGGGGGCAACCCUGACGCAGCAACGCCGCGUGAGUGAUGAAGGUUUUCGGAUCGUAAAGCUCUGUCAGGAGGGAAGAAACCUCAAUAGUUUAAUAAACUAUUGAAUUGACGGUACCUCCAGAGGAAGCACCGGCUAACUCCGUGCCAGCAGCCGCGGUAAUACGGAGGGUGCGAGCGUUGUUCGGAAUUAUUGGGCGUAAAGCGCGUGUAGGCGGUAAGUUAAGUCUGAUGUGAAAGCCCCGGGCUCAACCUGGGAAGUGCAUUGGAAACUGGCAAACUUGAGUACGGGAGAGGGAAGUGGAAUUUCGAGUGUAGGGGUGAAAUCCGUAGAUAUUCGAAGGA